rnacentral:rRNA from 1 species
ACAAGCGGUGGAGCAUGUGGUUUAAUUCGAUGCAACGCGAAGAACCUUACCUGGUCUUGACAUCCACAGAACUUUCCAGAGAUGGAUUGGUGCCUUCGGGAACUGUGAGACAGGUGCUGCAUGGCUGUCGUCAGCUCGUGUUGUGAAAUGUUGGGUUAAGUCCCGCAACGAGCGCAACCCUUAUCCUUUGUUGCCAGCGGUCCGGCCGGGAACUCAAAGGAGACUGCCAGUGAUAAACUGGAGGAAGGUGGGAUGACGUCAAGUCAUCAUGGCCCUUACGACCAGGGCUACACACGUGCUACAAUGGCGCAUACAAAGAGAAGCGACCUCGCGAGAGCAAGCGGACCUCAUAAAGUGCGUCGUAGUCCGGAUUGGAGUCUGCAACUCGACUCCAUGAAGUCGGAAUCGCUAGUAAUCGUGGAUCAGAAUGCCACGGUGAAUACGUUCCCGGGCCUU